UUCGCAAUGCCCGAAAGGGUGACGAAGCGACGCCGCGUGCGGGAAGAAGGCCUUCGGGUUGUAAACCGCUGUCGGGAGUUAAGAAAUGCGAGGGUAUUAAUAGUAUCCUUGCUUGACUAAGGCUCCGGAGGAAGCCACGGCUAACUCUGUGCCAGCAGCCGCGGUAAUACAGAGGCGGCAAGCGUUGUUCGGAAUUAUUGGGCGUAAAGAGCACGUAGGCGGCUGUGUAAGUCGGUUGUGAAAGCCUUCCGCUCAACGGGAGAACGGCAUCCGAUACUGCAUUUCUUGAGUGCGGGAGGGGAGAGUGGAACUUCUGGUGGAGCGGUGAAAUGCGUAGAUAUCAGAAGGAACACCGGCGGCGAAGGCGACUCUCUAGCCCGUAACUCACGCUGAGUGUGCGAAAGCUAGGGGAGCAAACGGGAUUAGAUACCCCGGUAGUCCUAGCCGUAAACGAUGGGCACUAA
rnacentral:rRNA from 1 species